rnacentral:lncRNA from 1 species
GAAGAAAAGAUAUAGUAAAGCAAAAACUUUCACAUGCCACACUGCACGAUCAUGCAGUGUUUAUUAUUCCAUUGAUUAUUUAUUUGUUCAUUUCCAUACACACAAUUAAAAACAGAGUCUAAGGGACUUUGUUUAGUCACAUGCAUGAUACAUAGUUAUACUUGCUCAGUUCUUAAUGACCUCCUCCACCUCAGAGUUGUGACAUGCUUUAUAGCAGAAUUUAUGAGUAUCAAAGCACUGACACUGGGGAGGAUAAGAUAGUGCACAAAUGCAACUGUCGCAUGCUGAGUGACAAGUUUCUCCAACAUCAACACAGCGACACGUAGGAGGGUCUGAUUUUGUGCAAAGGCAGGUAUCACAACAUGCUGAUUUGACAUCAUCACCAUUGGAGAGCACUUGAGUUAUGAAGGAAGUUGAAUCAAAACGAGCGUUAACAACAUUUGCGGCGAAGCUCAAGAGGAAAACCAUUAGAGCUAACUUCAUCAUUACCUUCUUAUUCAUCAACUCCAUUCUAACUCUUUUUCUCUUUCUUACUUUCUCUCUCUCUCUUUCUUUAUUUGCCUUGUGAAAAAGCAUGAAGCUACAUAGAUCUAUUUAUAUUGGUAUUUUUAUUCAAUUUUAUUAAUUUAAGUAUGUUUAUAGGCGUAAUUAUCCUCUAUUAUAUUAUUAACUUUUGGUUCAUCUUUCGUACGUGUAGACAUUUUUCUGACGAAAUGCAUAUCUGUAGACAUAAGGCCAUGCCAUGUAUAAGAACAUGUAUUAUUCAUUAUUAUAAUUUACACGUGUACCUAUUGCACUAAAAACUAAAUAAUUAACAAUUAGAGAUUACAUUAAUAUAAUUAAAUAAUUAACAAUUGAGAGGCAACAAUAGCAUGAAGCUACAUAGAUAUAUUUAUGUAGGUAUUUUAAAUCCAUUUUAUUAAUAUAAGUGUUGUCCUUAAAAAAUAUUAAAUUUUUUUUCUGUCUCACUUGUCACUUGUCAAUUUUUUUCUGGUGCAUGUGACUAAUAAGCAUAACAUUUAUUUUUUUCUUUCAACGAUUCCAUUUAAUCGAGGAGAAUAAUAAGAGAGGGUUACUUCACAAAAUUAUUCCUUCUUUUUUUUUUCAAAAAUCAUUAAAAGAAAUAUAUUCUCCUCCUAUAUCAUAUCUAACUCUUUUUAUUUUUUUAUUUAAUUGAUUUUCAACCUCGACUUUGUAUAAGAUAAAUUUAUGAACGCUUCAUCUUUAUGUUUUAACAAAUAAGCUUUAGUGAAUCUUGAACAAUCAUCUAUAAAUGUUUUAUAAUAAUUAUUUCGUCCUCUAGAUGUAGUUUGCUUUAAGUCUCCUUAAUCAAUACGAAUUAGACCAAUAAGAUCAGAUUCACAUUGCACAUACAUAUAUUUUUUGUGUGUUAAUUUUGAUUCUAAACAAAUAUCACAUUGACCAGAUUGCUUAUUAUUUAAAGUAAUCAUAUCAAGAAAUUGUAUUGUAUUAAUAUAAGAAGAAUUAACAUGUCAUAUAUCAUAAGAAUCAAUCAAGUAAGCAUAAGAAGAAAUUUUAUUAUUCAUAACUUCAUAAAUGUUCAACACAAAGAGUCUCGGGUCACAAUAACUUUUUCCACACAAAUACAUUAUUCUUUGUCAUUAUAAUCUUGUUAGAUUCAAAUGACCCUUUAACCGCACCAUUGCUCAAAAGAGCCACAUAAAUUAAAUUAGUCCUAAUAUUAGACGUAUGUAAUACUUCACUUAAAGCCAAUGUCUUUCCUGAUGUGAACUUUAAUAUAACUUUUCCUUUUUCUGAAAUUGCAACAGUUUGAGAAUCGCCCAGAUAAAAUCGUUCUUCUCCAUCCUCCACAAUAGGUAAAGGCAUCUUUAUUAGCACAAAUGUGCCUAGUAGCCCUAAAGUCUAUUACCCAUUUGUUCGCAUCAGUCACAAUAUUUGCUUGAGCAAUGACAACAACAAUAAUAUCACCUCCUUCAGCCAAAUUAGCUUUAGAAGGAUUGUCAUUCCUCUUGCAAUGUUUGCAUUGAGGUGCAUGAUGACCUGACUUAUUACAAACGUAAUAUUCUUCUCUUUUUUAAAGUGAGAUUAGUAACACAAGGGAUAAAAUUAUUAUUAUUAUUAUGACCAGAUUUAUGAUCGGGUUUGUGAUCGUACCUCUUUUUGUAAAACUUAUUACUAGUGUUAUUAUGGACCAAAUUUGCUCGAGAAACAAAACUUUUUUCCUUGGUAGCCUUGCUCUCCUUUAUAUUUGUACCCUCGAUAAUGAUGUGUGUGAUCAAAUCUGCUAAAGGUAAUUUCUUUUGCUUAUGUUUGAGUUGAUUCUUGCAAUCCGUCCAUGAUUCCAACAUCCUCUCAAUGAGAAUUCCAACAAUGAAUUAACCUGGCAAAGUUAUUUUCAACUUUCAGUUCUUCUAACAAUUUAUGAUACUCGUUGAUCUGCGCCUUUAUAUCUUUAUCUUCCGACAUUUUCCAAUGAUAGUAAUUUCCGAUCAAAUUUUUUUCUCUUCCAGCGAUAUAAUUUAGAUUCACCGAAUCCCAUAUCCAUUUUGCUUCCUUGUAUGGGCAGUAGAAAUCAAACAAAUUGUUAGAAAGAGUACUUAAUAUUGUGUGUCGACAUACCUUGUUUGCAUGUGCCCAUUGAUCGAUAAAUUUUUGAGUUGCAGACGAUGCUGGUUUCAAUUCUUAGAGAGCAUAUGCAACACCAUGCAUGUCAAGGAUGAAGUGAACAUGCUCAUACCAUCUGCGAAAGUUUUGGCCAUUGAAAACUUCAAUUUUUGACACAUUGGGGAAUGAUUUAGUGUAAUUGAUAUUCGGCACAACGAGAGGUGGUUGUUGUUGAAUAGUUUCAACAUUGUUGAUUUGAGGUUGACGGUUGGAGUCAUCACUGGAAUUGUCUUUGAUAGACAAAAUCCUCGAGAUUGUUGAAUAAUUUGCUAUGAAGACCUGUAAAAUAAGAUUGGGUUAAAUAAUCUGAGACGCGCUGACCGCGUUGUCCUCAAGGAUUUUCCACGUAAUACGCUAACCCUUUAGGAUUUAUCCGAUUCUUCUCAGUAAAUCGAGGAUACAAAACUCGCAAGAAAAAUUAUUUGAGCUAUUAGAAAUUAAUCCAGAAUUAAGAAAAAUCAAAUUAAAAAACGAUUUUUUAAAUAGUGUUUUUUCUUGUAUUAUGUGCAAAGCCUCACUUGUCUACUUCUUUUUUUGUCCUUUCUAUGUAUUAUAUAUUCUAGUAGAGAAGAAUAGAAUAAUAAUCAAUAAAAAUCAAUAAAUGAUUUCAUUACUUUUAGAAUAUCACAUUUUAUCGCCAUUAUUCUGAAUAAAGAUUUUAACGUCAAUGUAAUAACAGAAUGCAAGUAAUAAUAUUUUGUUACUUAAUUUGAAAUUGAAAAAUAUUAUAGAUAUUGAAUGACGUUUUAAUUUUAUUUACAUUUUUUAUUUUUAAUAUUAUACACACAUGUUAAUUUAUCGUUUUUAUUAAAUACAUCACUAUCAAACUUGUACUCAUUUUAAAAUAAAUGUUUGUUUAUUUAUUAUCUCAACAAUAAUAUCUUUGAAUUUUUUUUAAUGUUUUUAAAAACUUCAAAUGACAUGAUAAAUUAUUUUUUAUUAGAAAUGUGAGUAAACAGGUAUGGAUAUGAGUACUUAGGUACGCAUAGGGUACGAGGACAAAUAUAAAUAUUGGUGCCCAUGCGAAUAUAGACUCGGGUAAGGAGAAUUUUUUAAACUGCAGGUACGGGAACAUGUACUAUGCUCAAACCAUGCUCAUCCCACAAAUCCUAGACCAACCAAAAGAAGACAUGGAACCGCGGAAGCUAUGAGUGAAGGUGCUUAGUGGAAAUCGAAACCCUGGGAAUGGGAUAGCGAUUGAGUUCGCAACUCCUAAGAUUGCCAAUGGUGAGAUUGAAAUCGAGAUAGAAGAAGCUGACAUAGAGACUAAGGUAAAGUUUUGGGACUCUGCACUAAUAAUGUAUGUCAUAGGUGGUGAAGUGGGAAUGAAUGUUGUUAAGCAGUUUAUGAUGACGAAGUGGAACUUUGUAAAGCUUCCUGACAUGUACUAUAAGGAUGAACGUUACUUAAUUUUGAGGUUUCACUCCCAUCUUGAUAGGGUUGCAGUGAUGUUGAGGGGCCCGUAUACUAUCAUCAAUAUGCCUAUGUUGUUGAGGGAAUGGAAAACAAAUUUCAACCUCAAGAAUGAUAUGUUGUGAAACCUCCCAAUCUAGGUGAAAUUUCCUCAAAUCCCUCUCCAUUUUAGUGGAGGUAGACUUCACCCAAAAACUAACAAAUGAAAUCACCAUCAAAUAUGCAUAAGGGCGCAAAAUGAAACAACUGGUUGAAUACAAAUAGAAACCCCCUAGUGUGAGAAAUGUCAGAAAGUUGGACACAAUUGUGGAGCUCAAAAGCAGAAACCAACAACAAGAUAAUGGGUCCCAAAAAAUUCUCAACAAACAGUGGUGAAGGAGACUCCUAAGGAAACUAUAGAAAUAGCUACCACUAGUACAACUCAGAUCAUUGGGACUCCUACAAGCAUUGAGAUGGAACAGGUGGAGUGGACCAAGGUUGGCAAAAGUCGAAGAGACAUGGGAAAGAAAGCUAUGUCACCUCAACAAACAGAUUUGAAGCACUAGGAUUGAGAAAAGACUUAGGGUCUGUUUGAAUUACUUCUCAAAAACUGUUUUUUAAUUUUUAAAAAAUAAAAACUAAAAAACUUGUUUGAUAAACUAUUUUUAAAAUAGUAGUUUUAAAAAUUAGAUUUGUUUUUUAGUUUUAAAAACUGAAAGAGUAAAAUUGAUAAAUAUAGUUUCAGUUUUUAAUAUGUAGUUUCAGUUUUCAUUUUCAAUUUUUUUUAAAAAAAAUCCCAAAAAUAAAAAUUUAUGGAAAAAUAUAAAUUUUUAUUAAUGGUAUUUUGAUGAUUUAUUUAUUUAUUUAUAUAUAAUUUCAAAAGGAUAUCAAUAUUGUACGAAGAAUUUUGAGAAGAAAAAAAAUCCAUAAUAAUAAUAAUUAUGAUUUGUAUAAAUGUUUAGCAUAAAGCCAUUACUAAAUCCUAAAUACUAAUGGCGGAUCAUUUUAAUUUUAUUCAUGCAUUCAAGUUCUGUUUUUUUUCUUUAAAUAACUUAAUUCUUUCGAUUUUUUAUAUUUUCAUUAAUGUAAUUAUAUAUAUAUAUAUAAAAAUAUUUUACAUAUACAUCCAACUAAAUUACAUCAAAUAAAUAUACUAAAAAUUAAUCUAAUAAUGUAUCACUAGCAUGUAUUUUGAUUCGAUUAAAAAGUUUUACAUAGUAAGUACAUACAAAUUUACUUAAGAUUAUUUAAAAAAAAGUAUGGCUCAAAAACCUAACUAUAGGAAGGCAUGAAGACAAUAGGCGCCUAGGGGUGGCAAAACAGGCCCGGUCCGCCGGGCAUGCCCGUUUUUCCCGCACCUUAGUGCAGGGCGGGCCAAGGAUUUAGGCCCCCAACAUCUAAUGUGUCCGCCCCGCCCCACCCCGUUCUUUUCCGCAGGCUUUUGUGGGCACGUGCGUUUACAUAAUUUUUUGCAUUUUUAGGCUUAAAGAGUGCAGUGUCCGCGGGCUUUCCCCUUCCCGCCCUCACUUUUUUGUAGGACGGGCCUAAGUUUUAGGCCCACAUCCUCAAUUAUGACCGUCCCGCCCCACCCCGUUUUUUUGCGGGCUUUUGCGGGGCAGACCUAUAUGGGGCGGGCAUGUCCGUUUGCCACCCCUAUAGGCGCCACGUGGACGACAGUAAAGAAGGGCAUCGAGGACCCGAUCCAGAUUUUCAAAUUAUACUCAGUUGAACAUGUUUAGAGGAAAAAUUCUACAAGAGUGUGCUAAGGCCUAGGUAAAGAACGCCAGAGAUAAGAUAUCCCAAUAACGUAAAGUAGUUAGCACAAAUCGAUAGAUCAAAAUUUAAUUAUUAAUUAUAAUAAAAAUAUUUUAAAUAUAUAUUUGUUAAUAAAAGUGUUCUUAAAAAUUAGACUACCAAAUAGAUUUUUUAUUUUCUCAUCUCUAGAACUGUUUUUGAAAAUUAACUUAUCAAAUGAAUUUUUUAUUUUCUCAUUUCUACAAUAGUUUUGAAAAGUUAAAUUAUCAAACAAAUUUUUUAUUUAUUCUCUUCUUAAAAAGAAUUUUCUAAAACAAUUUUAUAAAAUAAUUUUUAAAAAGUAAAAAGCAAAACUCAUUCAAACGAGCUCUUAUUGUUUCAUGAAGAUGUCUCGUGAUUAUUGCUUGGAAUGUGAGGGGGCUCAAUAAAUCAGGUAAUAUUAGGGAGACUAGAGUGAAAAGUAAUAAGGCUGAGGCUAUUAGAGGCAAAUUGAACAUGAGAGGUAAUUACUUGGAUUACUAUAACAAGGAUGACAACGGUAGGAUUUGGGUGUUUUGGAAAGACAACAACGUUAUCAUCAAGAUGAUCAAGAGCACUGACCAAAUGAUACACUGUGGGAUCUUUGAGUUAAAUUAGGACUUAAGCUAUUAGAUGAUUGCUAUAUAUGCCUUGAAUCAAUUAGAUCAGAUAAAGAAUCUUUGGAAAGACAUUGAAGAUAUUAACUGCAAACAAAAGGGUUCAUGGUUCUUAUUGGGAGACUUCAACAAUGAUUUGAUAUCUCAAGACAUGAUUGGGGGGAAUAUGGCAACUGAAAAAGGAGUACAUUGACCUGAUAAGAAUGAUGGAACAAAUUGGAUUAUAUGAAAUGGGCAGCAGUGGGGACUAUUUGGUCUAACAAACAAAGUGAGAAUUUUAUCUAUUUCAGAAUUGACAGAGUGCUAGGUAAUUUGGAAUGGCUUCAGGAUCAUAGUGACUAUGAUGUCACUGUUAUCCACCCUAGUGUGUCUGAUCAUGCCAUGCUUUGCUUGAAAAGGUAUGAUAUUCUUUGGAAAAUAAUAGGAAAAUAAAUAGUUUCAAGUUUAUUAUCAAUGUUGCUGAUUUUGAGGGCUUUUUUAGUGUUGUUGAGAGAAGUAGGAAUGCCCCCUAUUAAUGGUAUGCCAAUGUAUAUUCUUUGGAAAAAACUGCAAAGAUUACAACCUGUUCUUAAUGCUAUGAGUAAGCUUAUUACUGAUGUGAAGCUGAAUAUUAUGAAAGCUAGGGAAAACUUGCAAACAACCUAGUUGAAUCUUUGCAAUGACAAAAUGAAUAUGACCAAGAUUGAUCUGGUAAAGAAACAUACUGAGGAGCUUAUUAACUUGAAGGAGAUGGAGGAAAAUGUGCUUAAACAAAGGCUAAAUUGGAUUGGCUAAAACUAGGGGAUGGAAAUAAUAAGUAUUUCCAUGCCUCCAUUAAAGCUAGACACAAGAAGAAAAGUAUGAAUACUCUACAAAAGAAUGAUGUUACUCUUCUAACUACUCAAAAUGAUAUUCAAAGGGAGGUGUUGGAUUUCUAUACUAAUCUGAUGGAUACAACUGACAUUUUAUUGGAUGGCAUUGACAUUAAUGCCAUGAGAAAUGCCCCCCAAUUGAAUAAUGAUCAUAGGGAAAUGCUUAUUGCUCUAGUUUCUGAUUAGGAGAUUGUCAAGGCUCUUAAAGGUAUUGGUGAUCUGAAGUCUCCAGGGUUGGAUGGGUAUGGGGAUUACUUAUUUAAGAAAGAUUGGCAAGUAGUGAAGACUGAUAUGAUAAAUGGUGUCCAAGACUAUUUUAUUAAUGGUAGAAUCUACAAAGCUUUUAACUGCACCUUGGUGAACAUCAUCCCUAAGAGUAUGGAGGCAAAAAUUAUUAGGGAUUAUAGACCUAUUUCCUGUUGUAUCACCAUCUAUAAGAUUAUCUCCAAAGUUCUAACUUCUAGAAUGAGUAAUAUUUUGGAGAGUAUUGUUGAUAAGAACCAGGCUGCAUUUGUCCCAUGCUAAGAUAUUCACAACCAUAUCCUUUUGUCUUAUGAGCUUAUUAAGGGCUACACUAGGAAGGGAGGUACUCCUAGAUGUAUGAUGCAGGUGGCCAUUCAAAAAACCUAUGAUUAGUUGAUUGGAAUGUUAUGGAGUGUAUUCUUAAUGAUAUUAGGUUCCUUAGACUGUUCACUAAUUAGAUUAUGCUUGUUGUUUCUUCUGUCUCUUACAAGUUCAAUGUCAAUGGAGAUUACUUAGGCAUUAUGCUGGCUAAAAGAGGGUUGAGGUAGGGUGAUCCCAUCUCACCUUUGCUCUUUAUCAUUGUCAUCGAUUACUUGAACAUAAUUUUACAUAAAAUGCAGAGGAACAACAACUUCAAUUUCCAUGCCAAAUGUGAAAAACUAGGCCUUGCCAACCUUUGCUUUGUUGAUGACCUACUGUUGUUUUCUAGAGGGGGCAUUAUGUCAGUUGAAAUUAUGAUGAAGUCUUUCAAGAGCUUUUCUAACUGUACUGGACUCAGAUCCAACCCUAUAAAAUGCCACGUCUAUUUUGGUGGGGUGGAGCACAACACUAGAGAUAACAUUAUGCAUAUUAGAUCCUUUAAAGAAUGAGUCUUUCCCUUCUUGUAUUUGGGUGUGCCUAUGACAGGUAAGAAACUCACACUUCAUCACUAUAUGAAUCUUAAUGAUAGAAUAUUAGGGAGAAUAACACAUUGGAGUGCUAGCUUGUUGAAUUAUGCUAGAAGAAUUCAACUCCUGAAAAGUGUCACCUUUGAUGUUAUGAACUAUUGGAUGCAGUGUUUCCCUUUCCCCAAGUUUGUGAUUCAUAAAAUAGAUGCAAUUUUUAGAACUUUCAUGUGGACAGGUGGUACUGAAUUGAGUAGGAAAUCCCAUAUUGCAUGGAAGUCUGUAUGCAAACCUAAAAGUCAAGGUGGCCUGAACAUGAUUAAUCUCGAAGUUUGGAAUAAAACUAACUUGGUGAGGCUUUUAUGGAAUCUUAAUGGUAAGUCCGAUAGCCUUUGGGUUAAAUGGGCCCAUACGUACCUAUUGCCUGAAACAACAACAUUUGAUGGAUGUCGGAGUGAGGAACAACUCCUCUUAGAUUAUUAAAUCCAUCCUGAAUCAAAGAGACAACAUCCACCACUUGCAGGCUUGGAUUGAGUUGCAGCAAACCUAUAAGUUCAGCAUGAAGAAAAUGUAUAAAGCCCUCCUUGAUGACACUCAAAAUGUUUAUUGGAGAUCUUUAUUUUAUGGGAAUAUGACGCGCCCUAGAGCUCUUUUCACCAUUUGGCUUGCUUUCCAUGAAAGGCUUGCAACAAAGGGCAGACUGUCUAGGUUUGGCAUGACUGAUAGUAUCAAUUGUUAUUUUUGUAAUGCAACAGAAACCCAACACAAUCUUCUCUUUGUUUAUCCUUAAAAGAAGGUCACAUGGGAGAAGAUUCUUGACCGGGUUCAAAUGCAGCAUACUCCUGCUGAUUGGAGGAACAAGAUUAGUUGGAUUAUCCGACGUAGCAAAGGCAAAGGAUAUAAAGUUGCCACUCUAAAACUUGCAGCAACAAAAACUAUCUAUGCAGUUUGGCGCUACAGGAAUGAUAAAUUUUUUGGUAAUGAUGUGAGUAAUACUAAUAGAGUAGACAUCAUCAUCUAUACGAUUGUGGUUGUUUCUUGAUAUUUGUCAUGGUUAAUUUGUAGGCGGGAUUUAUGCAAUCACCUUGUACAUAUCAUUUUUGAAUUAAUCCAAGUCUUGAUUAAAAAAAUGUAAUAAAACAUUUUAUUAUUUUCUUUACUAAAUUUGAUAACAAUAAAAACCAUAAGAUAUUUAAAAAAAAACUUAAAAAUAGGCCGUUGAGAAUUGAUGAUACAAAAAGUUAAUUCAAGUUGUUGUUGUUAGUGGUGGUCGUGUUGUUGUUGUUGCUGUUGUUAUUGUUGUUGCUGUUGCUAUUGUUGUUACUAUUGUUGCUAUUGAUGUUGUUGUUAUUAUUAUUAUUAUUAUUAUUAUUAUUAUUAUUAUUAUUAUUAUUUAUAAUAAUAUUAUUAUCAAUGAAAUUUAAAAUGAUUUUGUAUUAUUAAAAACACAAAUAACAUAUAUGUUGUAGCAAUUUAGUCUUUAAGUUCACCAUUUAGUAUAUUUGAGAUAGUAUUCUUAUAAAAGUACAUUAUGUUAAUAUUUUUUUAAGGAUAACUGCGUCUAUAAACAUACUUAUAUUAUUAAAAUGAAUUCAAAGUGCCUACACAAUAGUUUCAUGUUAUUGUUAGCCUCACAAUUGUUAAUUUAUUAUCUAUUAUAAAAUAUUAAUUCUUAAUUAUGAUAUAGUUUAUUGAUAACUUAUAUGUUUCAUGCUAUAUCAAUUUAUAAAAUCUGAUGUGAUAUUAUUUAAAAAAAUUUAAUUUAUAAAAUCUGAUGUGGUACUAUUCAAAAAAAAUUAAUAUUUAUAUUUUUAAUAUCUAUCUUAACAUAAUAUGUAACAUUUUAUUUAUAAUUAUUUUUCAAAACACAAUUAUUUAUAUUCUACCUAUCAUUUUUCUAAAUUAUAAACUCAAUACAAAAUAAAUAGCAUAAAUGGUUAUAUAGAAUAUGUAACAUUCCAUUUAAAAAAUAAUUAUAAAUGAAACGUUCCAUAUUAUGUUAAGAUAGAUAUUAAAAUUUUUAUUUUACAACAACAUUAUAAUUAUAUAAAUACUCAAAUCAUAAUCCAAUCCAUAAAAAUUCAUUCAACCAUCAUUCUCACUAUUUUUUUAAAUUAUAAAUUCAAUACAAAAUAAAUAGCAUGGAAAAUUAUAUAGAACGUGAGUGGUUUGAACGUGGAACAUCUUUAUCCACAAAAUAAUAAAGAAUAAACAUUCUUAGAGAUAUUGAAGUUCUUUUACACUUAUUUACAUUUUAAAAUAAAUUUCUAAUGUUUUAUUUGCAUUUCUACUAUUCAAACAUAUUUUCUUACACUUAAAGUUUUACUCUCUCUUUUUAUCAUCUUCAACUUAUAUCUUUUUUACAAAAAAUUUAAUAAUAAAUAAGAUCACAAAUUUAUUAAUAAUAUAUAAAAUUAAAAUUUAUAUUUUAUAAUAUUAUUUUAAAAAAUUAUCUCAACUCCAGCCCAUCGCGCAAGUCUCAUUCAUUCUAGUUAUUUUAUUAUUAGUGUAACAUCAAAGACGUGUAAAAUACAAUCAUUGUUAUAUAUGGCAAAACCUUAUGUCUACAAAUAUGCAUUUCAUCAGAAAAAUGUCUACACGUAUGUAAGCUGAACCAAAAGUUAAUAAUAUAAUAGAGGAUAAUUAAGUCUAUAAACAUAGUUAAAUUAAUAAAAUUGAAUUAAAAUACCAAUAUAAAUAGAUCUAUGUAGCUUCAUGCUUCUUCACAAGCCAAACAAAGAAAGAGAGAGAGAGAAAGUAAGAAAGAGAAAAAGAGUUAGAAUGGAGUUGAUGAAUAAGAAGGCAAUGAUGAAGUUAGCUCUAAUGGUUUUCCUCUUGAGCUUCGCCGCAAAUGUUGUUAACGCUCGUUUCGAUUCAACUUCCUUCAUAACUCAAGUGCUCUCCAAGUCUUAGUUUAAGUUAUUACAGAGUAUUUAAUAUACACAUAAAUAUAGAAGUUUAUUAUAUAUAUAUAUAUAUAUACUUUAGUUAUUUCAAGAAGGACAAGACAAUAUUAGCAGAGAAAGUUAUAAAUGAAGUCCACACUAUUAAUACGUAGUCGCUAAUCUUCCACCUGUCCUCUCUUAAUCUUAAAUGAUAGAGAUAAAUAAAGUUCGAUUCACGAUAAAGAUGGUAUUUUAAUAAUGGUCUUUACUUGGUGGAGCUUACUAAUUCUUCCUCCCUCUUUUACCUGUUUAAAAUUUGACCAUUUUCCUUCAUCCGUUAGUUGAACUUUUUUGAAGGUAGUGAUUUUUCCUUUGCAAUUUUUUGCAAGAAAGGUUUUCUUUUAGAGAAAAUAUAUUUAAGUGGAGGGUGAUUGUCGAUCCAGUUGGAGUCUCUUGUCUUUUGUCUGGGAGAAAAUAAUAAAAAAUUGAAUUUGGAAUAUUUCAGUACAAUUCUUUAUAUCUAUUCCGAUGUAAUUUGGAAUGUUAAUAAAUUCUCUUUCUCUCCGAGCAUAUUUUUAUAUAUAUAUAUAUAUAUAUAUAUAUAUAUAUAUUCAACUAUACAUGCGUCAAUUGUAAUGGCGCAUACUCUUACAUUUUAUAUACAUGCGCCAUUACAAUUGCCGCAUGCUCUUACAUUUUAUAUACACGCGUCAAUUGCAAUGACGCAUGCUCUUACAUUUUAUAUGCAUGCGCCAAUUGCAGUGGCGCAUGAGUAUAAAUUGAUUAAUGCAUGCGCUAUAACAUAUGACACAUUAGUUCAUUUAAAAAAAAAUGAUUACAUUGAUAAAUACUUUAAAAUUAUGACUAUUUUCGUAUUAUUUUUGAAAAUAAUAAUUAUUUAAAAUAAAAUCCGAAGUUAUCAUAUAUUCUCUUUAUAUAGUGUUUGCUUUAAUAAUCAAAAGUUAUAUAAAUAAUGUAUUUUUUUUAUUUUACUAUCUUUUAUUCUUUCUACGUCUUCUUUAAUCUGCCGUCCUUACUAUAUUCUUAAUUUCAUUCUUUAUUUUUUUCUUUUUCAGGUAGGGAUGUUCGCGGUGCGGUUUGCGCGGGUUUUGCGAUAAAAAUCACCCGAACCGCAAGAGAAAAAACAUGCGGUUCGGUUUGGUUCGAAUGAAUUUUAGAAAUAAAACCAAACCAAACCAAACCAAAUUAAUGCGGUUUGGGUUGGUUCAGUUGAUUCGGUUUUUUAUAAUAUUUUUAUUGAGCCAUAUAUACUCCUAUAAAUAACGACAUAACUUUGUGUUUAGUCAUUCAUAUAUUACUAAAUAACAUCAAAAUUCAUCAUAUUUAGACAAAAACGUUUCAUAUAUACUCCUAUAAAUAACGACAUAACUUUGUGUUUAGUCAUUCAUAUAUUACUAAAUAACAUCAAAAUUCAUCAUAUUUAGACAAAAACGUUUCAUUCAAUAUACAAAAAACCAGAUUAGGCAAAGUGGAAUAAAUGACAAAUAUAAAUAGUAGCAUAAAAUAAUAUCAAAGACAUUAUAAUAAAACAUAAAAAAAACAUAUGAGAUGAGAGAUUAGAGAAGAUGAAAAAAAGAACAUAAGAGAUGUGAGAUUGAGAAGAAAAGUGCAAUAAAAAUGUAAUUGGAAGAGAAAAUAGUAACAUAAAAGAUAAAAAAGAAAGAACAUAAUAAAGGACUUAUUAGAGUAGAAUAGGCGAGACCUACAUGGAAAAUAAGAUGAGAAGAAUGUAUGAUACUACUAUGAUAGAUUUAAGAAGGUUGAAAUUGAAACCCUAAGUGUGAUUAAGAGAAAAUCGUUUGUAAUGGUAAGGUUAAGACAUAUUAGGUUUGAGGUUUGGGUUAGAUGUGGGAUAAGUGAACUUUGGGUUGUAACAUAAUGCGGUUUGGUUUGGUUUAGUUCGGUUUGCAAAAUACAAACCGCAAACCAAACCAAACCGUACGGUUUUAUUAAAAGAUGAUCCAAACGAAUCCGAACCAAAUACGGUUUUUUGCGGUUUCAGUUUGAUUUGGUUUGGUUUGGUUUGCGGUUUUCUAUUGGGUUGGUUUGGUUUUGAACACCCCUAUCUCCAGGUGUUGCAUAAUGCGGAGGGAUUAAAGCCGAUGAAUAUAUAUUAGGAAUCACUUAAUUUUUUUUACUCCAACAUUGUUAAUUAUUUGUUUCGUUUAAUCUAUAAUCUUCUAUUAUCCUUGAGUACCUAAUGUGUGCUUUAGAUAUGGUCUUUUUAUCCUUCACAUCAAUAGUCAUAGUAAUUAAUUUUGAGGUUAUGACUAAAAAAUAAUUCUAAUUAAUUUUGCUUUAUUUAAUUUUUUUUAAUUUGACAUAUUAAAAUUUCUUUGUGAAUACAGGACUUUUGAAUUUUUUUAUUUGAGACACAACUAAUUUUCAGUCAAUGCAUAUAAAUCAGACACACAUAAUUAUAUUGACUCUUUUUAUACAAUUUGAUGGAGCGAUCAUGAUAGACGUGCGGCUGUGCAUUGUUAGUUGCACUCUUUCACCUUCAUUUUCAUUUUUUCCAUUUUAUAUCAUUUGCUUCCUUCUUCCAUGUUUUUAAUUUUUUAAAUUUUGUUUAAGUGUUAGUAAAUAUUAUUUUUGUUAACUCAAUUUAAAUUUAAUCUAUACAUAAAUUAUUUUAAGUGGUGUGUAUGCUUUUAUUUUCAAUGCCAAAAUUACUGAUUAAUUAAAUUUGGAAAGUUCCUCUUAUUCUAAAUUAAAAAUAUUCAAAUAUUUUAAAUAUAUUUCUUUAAUGAUAUGAUAUUUUGUCAUGUAUAUGUAGUUUUUUAAAUCUUAAGAACGUAUUGACAAAUAAAUAUAUGAAGAAUUGAUUCGAAUCUUUAUAAAAUAGAAAAAAUUAUAUUACAUUAUUUAUUAUUUAUUUUAUUUUAUUUUUUUAAAAAAAAUCUAAUUUAAAAGUCUUAUAUUUUUUUCUUUACUACGAAAAACAAUCAUAAGGAAAUAAAUAACUUGCAUUGCUUCCUGUUGUGCCGAAAUAUUAAAAUCUAAUUUGCAAUUGCUAUAAAGUAUCAUAUAAAUGGUAUAUUGUUCUUUCCUUAACAAUGGAAUGCGGUACAAUGCUUAUUGAUUUUGCAAUUAUUGUACACUAUCUAUAUAUAAAAUGCAUAUUGGUUUGACAUUUUUUUACGGACAUAUUCAUGAGGAAGGAAAAAUACAACAUGUAAGUGUUCUUUUCAAAGACAGUGUUGGUAUGAACAUGAAUCAAUUAAAAAAAAACAAUAUUAGUGAUUUGAUUGUAAAGUUCUCUUCCUUUUGUUUAUUAUCUAAAGUUAAUUUGCAUAAAUGAUAAUAAUUGUGUAGCGUUCGGUAAAUCGAUAAAUCGAUUGAAGGAUAAAUUAUUUUUUUUUUAAAUUUAAAAUAUGAAUUUGUUAGUUCCUAAAGUAGUCAAAUUAAAUUUUGAAAUUUUAAUUUAUACAACUCUGAUUGGAAUAAAUAAUAUUAUUGUAAUAUAGAAUUUAAUUUAUUUGUCAAAUUUUGAAUAAAGUAUUAUAUUUAUAUUUUAAAAUUAUUUAUUAAAGUAGAGUUUUUAAUCAUCAAAGUGACCAAUUCAUAAAAGUUUAUAAUUUUAAAAAUUUACAAAUAAGUUUCGAUUAUGAACUUCAAUCUAUUAUUUAAUUUUGAAAUGAAAAGUUUAUUAUUUAAUUUAAAAUUAUUUGAGUUAGAAAUUUGUUAAUUAAAAUGGUCAAAUUAAUUUUAUGAUUCUAAAUUAUGCAAUUGAAGUUGAUUUGGAUGCUAUGUGUAGAGCUGUCAAAAUGGGAUAAAGCCCAUGAGCCGGUCCAUCGAGCCCGAAAAAAUUUUGGGUUUGGACCUUAUUUUUGGAGCCCAUAUAUUUUCGGGCCUUUUUUGGUCUGGCUCGAAAAAGCCAUAAAAAAUGGGACGGCUCGUAUGAGCUAUGGGUAGCCCAGCAACCUCAAAUAAUUUUUUUUGAAAAAUAAUUAACUUAUUUAGCACAUGAAUUUAGUCCACCUAUUAAUAUUCAAUUAUUCAACAAAUUCAUUAGUAAAUGUAAUUACACUGUAUUCAAUUACUUAGCCCAUUAAUAAUUGCACUUAUUCAAUUAUUAUUUAGUAAAUGUAAGUUUGAGAUCCAAACAACACCAUAGCAUACCUAUUAGAUGUUUUUGAAUUUGAUUUUGUACGCAUUUGACGACAUCUAUAUUUAGUUAUGAUGUUUUCAUAUUCAUUAUAUUAUUAUAAUAUUUUUCUUUCUUUAUUCAUGAUUUUACUACCAAAAUUUUUGGUGUUUUUAAAUGGUAUGAAAUGUGCUAAAGUUUUUUUAAUUAUGCAAAUAAUAGUUUUUUAUUUUAAUUGGCUUUUUUACGUGUUUUUGCAACAUUGCAGGACUCACAAUAAAAUAAAACUAAUUCUGAAAUAGUUUGAAAUUCAUUCGAUAAUUAAUUAGUUGAAUUUCAUUCAUAAGACAAAUUAAGUUUUGACCUAAACCUUUCGUAACUAAAUGAGUUAAUUGGUAAUAAAUAUGUAGUCUUGAACUGGGAAAAAAAACUUUUAAUUUAUGUGAGCAUGUAAUCUUUAGUGUCUUGAAGUCAUUUAUUUGUAAACUCAAAAUGAUUUUAGUAAUAGAAUAAAAACAAUUUAAAAAAAAGGAUAAUAUGAUUAUUUACAAAAUAAGGAGUUUUUUUUUAAAUGGGUCCAUUUAUGAUCGGGCCCGUUUAGGACCGGGUAGCCCGCAGGCCAGACAGGGAUGUCUGGGUAGUAAAAUUGGAGCCCAUAUUCAAUAUGGGAUUUUUAGGCCUGACCCGAAAAAACCCGAGACCCACCAGGGACAGCCUGUUUAGGACCGGGUAGCCCAUUUUGACAACUCUAGUUAUGUGUUUAAUAAAAUUUAUUAUUAUUAUAAAAUAUAAAGAAAUUAAAGUAUUUUUUUACACACUUGUUCUUGUAUAUCCAAAGAUAUACAUUCAUGUUUUAAGUGAUUUUAUUGUCCAUUAAAGUCUGUUUAUUUAGCAUCAUUAGAAUUUUUUAAAAUGUAUUUAAGUUUUAUUUAAAGGUAGACUUUUAUACUUGUUUAAAGAUGAUUAGUUUGAAUCCAUGAAAUUUAUUCAAAACAUAUUAAUGUAUGAGCAUGUUUUAAUGCUUGUGGUUAAUAGAAAUGUGUUACGGGCUUGAACAUUAUAUUGAUAAUGGAUGAAAAGCCUAUGGCGAUUACGGAGGACACUACAUAAGAGAAAUGUCUCUCUUUGAGAGUUAGGAAAUGUCCAACCGACUAUCUUUGAACUUAAUGGAAAAGGACAAUUCGUAAAGUUUCUCGAAAGUCGUGGUAAAUAUAAACUAUAUACUAUGCAUGACAAACCCCAACAAAACGGUGUUGUUUAAAAGCCGAAUGUACUCUCAUGGAAAUGAUCAGGUCAAUUUUAAAUAUAGCAAGGUAUUAUUAUCAUUGUGGACAUACGCAUUAAGGACCGUUGCAUAUUUGCUUUAAUAGGAUUCCUAACAAGAUAGUUCUUAAAACUCCUUAUGAAUUGUAGACAUGAAGAAAACCUAGUUUAAAGUAUCUUCAUGUUUUGGGCUAUCAAGGAAAAGUAAACAUGUAUAACCCAUAUGAAAAAGUAUAACUUUAUUGUCCUAAUCGUAGUAUGAGAAUAAUGGAAUAUGGUAAUUAUCAAUUUAUUGAAUAUGGUAAGUUCAGUGGGAGUGAGGAAUCAUAUAAAAUGGAUAUUAUGGAGACUUAUGGAACAUCUUCUUCACCUAAAGAAUCUCUCUAUGUUGGUGUCCAUCUAGUUGUAUUAUCGUUAUACAACACAAAGAAACAACAUAUAAUUAUUCACUUGAGCAUGAAUGUGACUUGAGCAUUGAUAAGGAUUCAGUCUCAUUCACACUAGCCAUAGAAAACUGCAAAGAAGGUUCUUAGGUACUUACAAGACACUAAAGAUUACAUGCUCACAUAUAGAAGGUCAGACCAACUUGAAAUAGUUGACUACUCGGAUUUAAAAUUUGUGAGAUGUGUGGACUCAAGAAAAUCCACAUUUAGAUAUGUUUUUCUUCUAACCGGAUGAGUAAUAUCACGAAGACCGUAAAAUAACCUAUAAUUGCUAUUUCUACUAUGAAGGAAAAAUUCAUGGCAUGCUUUGAAGCCACAAUUCAACCACUGUGGUUUUGGAAUUUACCCUUACGGCUUGGUAUUAUCGACAAUAUAGUUAGGCCACUAAGGAUUUAUUGAUAAUUCAAUAGCUAUCUUCUUCUUUAAGAAUGAUAAGCAUUUAACGGAUGUUAAAUACAUGAAAUUGAAGUACUUAUUAGUGAAAGAAAAAGUGCAGAAACAAAAAGUAUCAUUUGAAUACAUUGGUAAAGAUUUAAUGAUAGCGGAUCAGUUAACCAAAAGUUUACCGUCCAAGACAUUCCAUGUAGAAAAGAUAGGCAUUAUGUAAAAGUCAUUCUUAACAUUAUAAUAUAAUCGUUAUAUAUACAUGUAUAAUUUAAUGUCAUAUUGUAUGACACUUGUGAAUUCAAUUAAGAAUAUAUUUCUACUUAGUUUGUUAUCCAUAUUAUAUUUUAUACAUUAUUGUUAAUAUGUGAUGACAAAUGUGCCUUUGAAGAGACAUGAAAGAUACAUAAUUGUAUCCCUUAAAUAUUUAAAUUGGAUUGAUUUGUGAUACAUGGAAGAAAUCAAGUUGAUGAAUGACUUGUGACCGCCAUGAUUCGAUCAUUUCAAUUUAUUAAAGAUAAUGACUUGGUGCUUCUAAUAAAUGAUGAACAAUUAUGGUAUAAAAUCGAAAUAUCAAGUUGUCACAUGAGUCAAGUGGGAGAUUGUUGGAUUAAUUUGUUAAUCCAUUAAAUAUGACUCAUGUAAAUUAAAGAUUGAUUUAAAUAAAAGAUGAUUGUUUAGGUUGAUGGAUAAUUAAAUCAAUUGAGUUUUUUUUAGUUUCAAAAUAAAAUUUAAAUCUCUGUUCUCUCUUCAUGACUAUUGGGACAUGUCUGUUGCAAUAAGAUGUGACCGUUAUAAUAAGAUGCCUAUAAAUAGGCACCAUUAGGAAAGCAACACAAACGGUUCUCAUUAUUUCUGAUUAUCUAUAAAAUAAUAAGAGAAAAUAUAUUAAUCAUCAAAGAUACAUAAAAGAAGAAGGAAGAGAGGAGAAAAUAAUUCGGAUCAAGAAUCAAGAACUGGACAAGAACCGGCGUCAUAAAUCUGGGUAUGUCUUUUUUUAAUGUUUUUCAUAGAAAUUAGAGCACCGUAAAAAUCAUAAUAUCAAGAUUCUAAAUAUGAAAUUUUCUAACAAUUUUUCCAUGAUUCGGAACGUUGUUGUUUGAACUAUUUGAAGUGUUCCAAAUGAUAUUAUUUCUUUGGUUCCUAAACAAAAUUUGAACGAAGUUAAGGGAAAACAAUUAUUUUUCUAUCUUAAAAAUGGUUCUUAGUUAGAUCACCGGAGAACUCGUGUAUUAUCUCUUAUUGAUUUCAGAAUAUUGUCUUCUUCCUUAAUCAGUAACAGAUCAAGAAUUUUGUGGUUUUGAUGCUUCACUUGAAAAUCACUGUUCUAUUAAUAGUGGUUUUUAUGACUUGAAUUCUAGCUUCUCUUUAUUAAAAGAUGAGGCUUUUAUAAUUGUUUGAGGAUUCUCUCUUGUGUAGUAUUUGUAUUGGCUUUUUAGCUUCUUUUUUUUGUUGUUUAUGUAGGCUAUUUUGUUGCUUAUUUGUUUUUAGAAUGAUAAAUUUGGCAUAUAUUAAGCUAUGAAUACCUUUUAUUUAUAUUUUGUUGGGUUAUUUAUCUAACACUUAUUAUUAAUAUAUUAAAUUUAAAUGUAUUUUUGGUCUCCGUUGAUAUUUUAAUUUUUUUUAGUCUUGUAAUUUAGAAUUAAAUUUAGCUUUUUGGUCUUUUUUUUUUACAAUUCUUGCAAUUUUUUUAAUGUAGCGCCACCUAAGCCAAAUAUGUCAUGUCAUAGUAUCUAUAUGUACCUCAUCAUGUAAUAAGAUAUUAUUUAAAUCAAAUUGAUGUAAAUGUCAUAUUGAUGCAAAAGCUAUGGAAGGUAUGAUUAUACUGAAUUUUGCAAUAGGUGAAUGAGUGUCAGAGUAAUUCAAUCCAUUUAUCUGACUAUAGCCUUUGACAACUAACUUUGACUUGAAUCUGUCGAUGCUCCAAUGUAAAUUAUGCUUAAUUUUAUAGAUCUAUCUGCAGUCUGGUUUAAUGUUAGGUGGAGGGUCAAUAAUUUCCCAAGAGCUCAUUUUGUCAAGAGCAUCAAGCUCAUGAGAGUCGACCAAAAGCAUAUGCUAGAAAGCCAAAAGCGAAACAUGCACAGCCUUACCAUCUUUUUAACCUAUAUAUCCCAUUAUACCACUCUUUGAAAAAAAUACCAAAAUACCAUGUUUUGAGAAAUCUUCAACACACAGCCGCCAAUCCAUUGGGCGGUUGAGUGUAAAAAAUUAAUGGACCGCCCAUUCAUUUGGAGCCUGUGUUGAAAACGUAAUUUUUUUUUCCAAAACCAACAUUAUAUGUAAUAUAUUAAUAUUUAGUAUUAUUACAUUAUUAAUUAAAUUAUUAUUGAUUUUAUAUUAAUGAUUUUGAUUUUUCAGUAAUCAACAUUAUUAUUAAAAUUAAUUAUUAUUAAUGAUUUUGUAAAAUUAAUUAUUAUUAAUAAAUUUUGUAGAUAAAAUAAUUGUUUAAUUUAUAACAAAUAAUGAUAUAUGUUACAAUUAAUAGUGAUUUAAUAUAAAUUUAUUAUUAUAAAUUAUACAUAAUAAUUUUUUAGUAAAAUAAAAUAUUAUUAAUAAGUGGGUUAGAUAAAAUAUUGUUUAAAUUAAUAAAUAUAAUAUAAUUUAUAAUUAAUUUUGAUUUAGUAUAAGUUUAUAUUAAUAAAUAUUGUAUAAACUUAUAUAAACUUAUAAGAAAUAUUAAUUAGUAAAAUUUAAGAAUUAUUUAAUUUAGUUAAAAAUUAUUUCUUAUAAAUUAAAGUUGUAGGUAUAAAUAUUUAUUUUAAAUAUAUAAAAUAAGUAAAUUGCAUAUAAAUUAGAAAAAUGAUAAAAAUAAAUACAAGGAUUUUUAUUUAUUGAAAUAAUAACAAGAAACAGGUCAACCUACAAGGUGUUGGUGUGAUUGCGGAAAGUUUCAAGCUUUUCGAGUUCCUUGUUCCCAUGUUAUCGGCGUGUUCAAGAUACACCAGGACGCAUACGGUCUUCUGUCCACCGUUGUUACCAAGGUUUCAAACCUAUUUGGGGUUUACAGUAAUAGUUCCCAGUGCUGCCAUUACGAGUGCUAUGGGGCCUACGGUUUUUGAAGGAAUGCACGAUGCCAUAAUCGGUUUAGCCGAGAAAGGGAACAGAACGCCACCGGACAGGAGCAAGGAAGAAGGAAAGAAAAAGGAAGAGUGGGGGGGGUGGCAGCGCGCAGCCGGGACCACGGAUAGAGGCGAUACCGCAAACAAAAGAGAAAAAAAACACAGAAAAAAAAAAAAAAAAAAAAAAAAAAAAAACAAAAACAAAACCAUUUCCUCUAAACUGCCUCAAUUAAAAUUCCAAUUCCUUAACAUUAACUAGACAGAUGUAAUUGAUGUUCCGACUCAAUGCCAUCAGCCACAUACGUUUGCUUUGACCCGGAUGGUAAUUCAGAACCAAAGUCAUAAUCCUUUCAGAAACUCUAACCAUCUUCCUACUGUCGCAUAUUCAGCUUCUUCUGAUCAAAACAAAUCACUUUAAACUUUUAUGGUCACGUGAAAAACCUCAAAUCUUGACCCGUACAAGUAAUAGCCUCCAUAACUUCGAAAAAAUACCACAGCUGCCAACUCUAAAUCGUGUGUCGGAUAGUUCCUCUCAUGAACCUCAGUUGUCUCGUAAGCAUAAGCUACAACCUGCUUAUUCUGCACCAUAAAACACCACCCAAACCAAAAAUGAAGCAAUCACAGUAAACCUCAAAUGGUCUCUGAUGGACUUGGUAUAUCAGAAUAGGAAGCAGUAGUUAACUUCUUCUUUAACUCGUUGGAAACCUUCUUACAUAUUUUGAGUUCCCAAAACAAACGCUUGCCCCUUUCUAUCGUCAACAUCAGUCAACGGUAACGCCAAGCUUAGGGGAAAAUCCUCAAUGAAGUUUCCUAUAAUAACCUACAAGUCAAAGAGAAAAACUUCCUGUAUCAUCAAAAUCUGACUUCGGAGCUUCCCACUUCGAUUACCGCUUCUAUCUUAGAAGGCAUCAACAACAAUACCACCUCUGAAUUCGCAUACAAGAAAAGAACCUCUUCUAACCAAAAUGUCACAACUUGGACAGUUUAGCAAAUAACUUCAUUUUUCUCGUAGAACUCCUUAAAACCACUCUCAAAUGUUCAGCAUGCUCUUCCUCAGACUUUCGAAUACACCAACAAUAUCGUCAAUAAACACCACAACAAAACUUUGUCUAGCGUACGAGAUGGAAAAUCCUAUUCAUAUACUCCAUGAAUACUGCCAGGCGCAUUUAGUCACCCCAAAAAAGGCAUUACAGCAAUACUCAUAUGUCGCAUACCUUGUUCUGAAAGUAGUCUUUUUGAUAUAUCCUCAGUUUUCACACGUAUCUGGAUGAGUACCCUGAUUUCUCAAAAUCUAUUUGCUGAAACACACUCGCACCAACCAACCGGAUCCAUCAAAUCAUCACCAGUCGGGCAAAGGCGGAUACGCUCUUUGAUCGUCAACUUUAUUCAGCUUGACCUGUAGUCCAACACAACCUUCAUAGUACCUUUCUUUCUUCUUAGACCAAUAACACUGGUGCGCCCCACGCGACACAAUCGGACGAAUUAAAUUUCGUUAUCCACAGAUCUUCCAACUGACUUCCGUCAAAUUCAGUUAACUCGACAGCAGACAUACCGUACGAGCCAUUCGACACCGCCUAGUACCAGGUACCAAAUCAGAUCGAGAACUCAACUUCACGCUCUUGCGCGCCGUUUAAUUCAGCACUUCCUUCAGGAAAACACAUCAGGGAAAAUCACACACCACCGGCUAGAUCGCAAAAUCACCAGUGUAUCUUUUUAAGCCGUCUUUAAGUCUCGCUAACAGCAUAACAACUCUGCCCCAUCUACUACUGCCUCAUUCACCUGCCUUGCCUUGAUAGAAACAGAACUCUUUCCCUUCCUCGAAUCUCAGGAAAGAUCACCAGUCUUAGGCAAAAGCCAGUUCGCAUUAUAAAACUCGGUUAAAACAAGCCAAACCAGUUCAUACCCAAGCAUAACAUCAAUCUGCACUACGUGGAAGACACAACGAGCGUCUAUCCCAUAGUCUCUACCAACAAAUACUAAAAGAAAAUACAAUUUAAACAAACUGAAAAAAGAAGUAGUGUCACUGAACCCUUCGCAGGCAGGUAUCAAUCACCAUACUCGCCAUGCAUCCUGCAGAUAUCUCUAAUUUAAUAUUCACGCACAUCCAAAGAUAUAAACGAAUGAGUCGCACCUGUGUCAAUAAUCAGCUACAAGAGGGGAAAGCAUAAUAUGAACACCGUACCUCGGAUCCAAACGCAUUUACAUCUACAGAAGUCUCAGAAACCGAUUGUUUAAAGCAAAAGACCUUGCCUCCUGACUGGUUACCUCUCUCUUCGGCUAGGACACUGUGGACUGAUAUAUGACCCACCUCUCCCACAGUUGCAAAACAAGUCACAGUCUCUCAACGGCACUUGUUGCAAGCCAAGUGGCCACCUUUUCCCACACUUUGAAACACUUCUUUCUCAGUACUGGCUACACUUCGAUGGGAUACGAAUGUCAAGCACUGAACACGUCAUCUGAAAACACUUAGCAGUGGGCAACCUGGAGUCUCCGCCACUAGGCCUCAUUCAUUACCCACUCUGUCUCUCGGUGAAACCUUUACACUUGGCAAUACGGUUUCCCCGAUCAUAUUCUGAUUUCUUCCGGCCCUUCUCCCUUACUUUCGAACCCCUCGCGUUAGAUUCGGCUCCUGCCGCUUUCCUGCGAUCUUUAAGGUGGGUUUCUAAUACAUGAGUGUUACCACCCAAAUUGCAACAUACAUGAUAAAAGUACCUACACCCAUCGGAUAAAAAGUAAGAUAUCCAUAUAAUUUCAAUUAUGCCCCCAAGUUACCUCAAUGAAACUGCGCCCUAUAGGAAUAGCCCUUACCCAACGUUCCUUUGAGCGUACGGCAUGUGUAUUUUAUAUCUCCACUUGAUUAUGCGACUUUAAUAACUCAUUAAUUAGACUGGGAAUCUCCUCACGAGGACGUUAAUUAUAAAAACAAAUCUGUGUCUCACUAAUUCCUUGAAACAAAACUUCACACAUUUUUGAAUAAUUCGAUUGUAACCCAGUGACCUCGAAUCAGGUAGGCGGAGUGGAUAAUAAUCUUUCUGACAGUUCUCCAUGUGACUUCAGCCCAGAGCUACCAUACUUCAAUUUAAAAUAGUAUACUGUACAAGACCUGAUGUGCCUCUGUCUUCAACAUUUGUGUUAAAGAGAGCUCUAUUUUGCUAUUCUUCCUCGUGACAUCGGCUCGAGAAUAGUUAACUUUCCUCCAGAAAUGGCUCUCUCUUGCAAGACACGCGAGUCGACAAGAAUGAGUCUCAAGGCUGAAAAUUGCCAGCAAACUUCCAAUCUCAGUUCGGUGGUAAGCAAAACCCCCGACCAAUUCAAUUCUGCUUCCUCAGGGAACAGUAUUGAAUGUGUACGAACGGCUGCACCUUGCUGACUGUUUCAUCGCACAACUCAGUACACUCGGCGAAGGAUCCUUCUCGAUUCUCUUUCAACCACUUCUUGAGGCACCAUUCGAUGGGAUCUGUAUGCUCCCUUUGAAAUCAUUUGGAGGAUUUGUUCUUCGUGGUAUUAUUAGCUCAUGCUCUAGGUGGUUUGUGGGGGAGCGNNNNNNNNNNNNNNNNNNNNNNNNNNNNNNNNNNNNNNNNNNNNNNNNNNNNNNNNNNNNNNNNNNNNNNNNNNNNNNNNNNNNNNNNNNNNNNNNNNNNAAACAGGGAUUGAAUACCAAGAACCGUAGAAUUUGCACAAUACAGGGAUCCACCAAUGGAAACGUCCACUGGGAUUUGAUAUUUAUUGCUGGGUAUAUAUUUUUUGGUUUUGUUUUUAAAGGGUACAACCACAUCCAGACAUCGCAACGACGAUGAAUGGGGGAAAGAAAUCACAACUAGAUGCCAACGGACAACUAGGAAAAACUCAACAUUUACCAAGACCUACGGAGAGGUAACCAGACAUUAAUGAAUGACUGGAAAGGAUACAACCAUUCGUCGACGGACGAAAUGGGAAAAACUCAACGUUCACCCAGACCAACGGAGAGGCAACCAACUGGGGACGACCAGGAAAAACUCGACGUUUAUCGAAACCAACGGAGAGGUAACCAGACAUUAACUGAUGAAUGGGAGGACUCGACCGGACAUCAACGGAUGAAUGGGAAAACUCGACGUUUACAGACAUCGAAAGAUGAUGUUUACAGACACCAAAAAGAUUGACCAGACAUUUACUGAUGAAUGGGAAUACUCGACGUUUACAGAUAUCGAAAGAUGAUGUUUACAGACACCAAAAAGAUCGACCAGACAUUUACUGAUGAAUGGGAAUACUCGACGUUUACAGACAUCGAAAGAUGAUGUUUACAGACACCAAAAAGAUCGACCAGACAUUUACUGAUGAAUGGGAAUACUCGACGUUUACAGACAUCGAAAGAUGAUGUUUACAGACACCAAAAAGAUCGACCAGACAUUUACUGAUGAAUGGGAAUACUCGACGUUUACAGACAUCGAAAGAUGAUGUUUACAGACACCAAAAAGAUCGACCAGACAUUUACUGAUGAAUGGGAAAACUCGAAAUACAACCAAACGUCAACGGACGAAUGGGAAAAACUCAUCGUUUAUCGAAACCAACGGAGAGGUAAAUCCAUAUGGGGAAUGGUACAACUAGACAUCAUCGGAUGACUAGGAAAAACUCGACGUUUAUCGACACCAACGGAGAGGAGGAAUCUUCACUAGGGAAGGGAGGGCGACGUUAUGAACAUCGAAAGAGGAUGUUUACCGACAUCAAAAGAAGACCAGACACUUACGCAUGACUGGGAAAGCACCGAAAGAUGGUGUUUAACGACACCAAAGAAAUACCAGACGCUUACGCAUGACUGGGAAUCACCGAAAGAUGGUGUUUACCGACACCAAGGAAAACAAAUACACGCGGGUGCUGACGGGAUAUUGAGAUCUACAAGAUGACAAGGCAAGGCUAAACACUUGCAGGGGGUCUCACUGGGGAGAAGCAAGCUUUCCUUUCCAACGGAUGAGGAAAUAAACCUCUGUGGGGAUUAUCAACACCAAAUGUUGACUGGAGCAACUGUAGCAAAUGUGUCGUACAGGUUGAGCGAAAAUCCGCCUCUGCAGGGGAUACGGUCUGAUGGGGUUUCGAACACAUGAAUGCAUAUGUUUGAAUUUUUCUAUGGCGUAAUGCUCCAUUUAUGAAUGGAAAUGCUACGCGAUUUUUGAGGAUGCAAUGAUCACUACAUGCAAAAUGCAACAUGAACCCUGGCUGGGGAGCCAAAAAGGUCAGAUACUCCGACUCUGUGGGGAGACUCUGACUGAGGAAAUACAGACGCCCCUUAAGAAGAACCCCUUACUAUUUCGCUGAAGUCUGGGGGAAGACCCAACCAACCCUCAGAUAGGAUAAACUCUGCUUUGGAGAAUAUCUGUUACUCCGCUGGGGACGACCCACGCAAUCCACAGGUAGCAUCAACUCAGCUGGGGAUGCAGAUAUCGGUCUGCUACGGAAACUCGUCCAAUCCACUGGUAGGAUAAACUCUGCUUGAGAGAUAAAUGUUACUCCACUAGGGACGACCCAGCCAAUCCAUAUGUAGGAGAAUCACUGCUGGAGAUGUAUUUCAUUGAAACCCGCUCCACUCGGGGAACUUGCUGAGGAAAAAAACACACCAUUCUGCUGAGGAGAACGAUCCUAGUGGGGAGAGUAAAAACUCUGUUGGGGAUGAUAACACGUCAUAUCACUGGAGAUGAACCUCUACCAUCCUGCUGGGGAGAAGCACUCACGACCAUGCUGGAGAUAACAGUAUCACAAACCCGACUGCUGGGGAACACACAAACACACACAAGUCUACUGAUAGACUCCGCUGGGGAACUCCCGGGGAAAAUAACUGCCAGGCGCUCAGCGGGGAUUCUCAACUGGGGAAAUCUGCAAGCACAGGCCUGCUGGGGAUAAACAAUCUUUAGAUCUGCUGGGGAAAGAAAGUACUGUCCACAGACAUCUCUGCAGGGGAAAUAACUCUGAUAGCUUCAAUACUGGCUCAGGCUGGGGAAAAUGUCCUCCACCCUGGGAAACAUUCUGCCCCUGACACUCCCACCAGGGACAAGACAACCUUCAGGCUUACUAAGGAGACACCGAUCUCGGAUCUGUCGGGGAGAUCACACUCUCGACCCAUUGGGGGGAGAUACAAUUUGUUUGACAGAGAUGUCGGUUGGCUUGUCGAACACUGGUAUCCAUCAUUUACCCACAGUGUCGAUUUUCCACUUUUAAUAAUCUCCCAGACUCAUCUGGACUUUUUCUGCUCCAUCAUCUUGCAUUCCCAACUCGUCCGUACUUCACGGAGAUCGAACUCCUGAGAUUCAUACCUACUUUCCAAUCAUCAAACUUUGAAGAGUCUUCUUGAUUAUCUUUCCAGGAUCGUCGUCGUAAUCCUUCACCGUCUUUUCACCGCAAGUCUAUUCCUUGCCCCUGAUCAGGUUCUGUGGGGAUCUCUUGCCAAAAGGGUUCACAUUACCACUGGUAAGUGAAUGAAGGUAUCUAACAGUACCUGCACAAGAGAUCGCCAGAUAAAAGCGUGCCCCAGGCAUGCCCCAGGCAUUUCAAUAUUGCAACGCCUAGGUCACUCAAACUUCCGGAUAAGAUUUCCGGAUUUCAAUCUUAUAAGCAUGCAUCGGAAGGGACCUCUAUGUUUCAAAAUGCAAAUAUUCUUAUCAAACUAAACGGAUGUUUUCGUAAUCAAAACGGUAAUGUCACAAAAACAGAAUUUAUUUGACUGAACACACACUUUAUUGACUGAAACAAAAAGGAUAGCUCAAAACCGAGCGACACACAGGAAGCAAACCCUGGAAAGAGGUGAUUGCGUACAAAAGGAAAAAUCUAUCCUAAUGGCAAUGUGAAACCGUGAUCUCAUCGGGUUCCAACUCAGUUACACCUCNNNNNNNNNNNNNNNNNNNNNNNNNNNNNNNNNNNNNNNNNNNNNNNNNNNNNNNNNNNNNNNNNNNNNNNNNNNNNNNNNNNNNNNNNNNNNNNNNNNNNNNNNNNNNNNNNNNNNNNNNNNNNNNNNNNNNNNNNNNNNNNNNNNNNNNNNNNNNNNNNNNNNNNNNNNNNNNNNNNNNNNNNNNNNNNNNNNNNNNNNNNNNNNNNNNNNNNNNNNNNNNNNNNNNNNNNNNNNNNNNNNNNNNNNNNNNNNNNNNNNNNNNNNNNNNNNNNNNNNNNNNNNNNNNNNNNNNNNNNNNNNNNNNNNNNNNNNNNNNNNNNNNNNNNNNNNNNNNNNNNNNNNNNNNNNNNNNNNNNNNNNNNNNNNNNNNNNNNNNNNNNNNNNNNNNNNNNNNNNNNNNNNNNNNNNNNNNNNNNNNNNNNNNNNNNNNNNNNNNNNNNNNNNNNNNNNNNNNNNNNNNNNNNNNNNNNNNNNNNNNNNNNNNNNNNNNNNNNNNNNNNNNNNNNNNNNNNNNNNNNNNNNNNNNNNNNNNNNNNNNNNNNNNNNNNNNNNNNNNNNNNNNNNNNNNNNNNNNNNNNNNNNNNNNNNNNNNNNNNNNNNNNNNNNNNNNNNNNNNNNNNNNNNNNNNNNNNNNNNNNNNNNNNNNNNNNNNNNNNNNNNNNNNNNNNNNNNNNNNNNNNNNNNNNNNNNNNNNNNNNNNNNNNNNNNNNNNNNNNNNNNNNNNNNNNNNNNNNNNNNNNNNNNNNNNNNNNNNNNNNNNNNNNNNNNNNNNNNNNNNNNNNNNNNNNNNNNNNNNNNNNNNNNNNNNNNNNNNNNNNNNNNNNNNNNNNNNNNNNNNNNNNNNNNNNNNNNNNNNNNNNNNNNNNNNNNNNNNNNNNNNNNNNNNNNNNNNNNNNNNNNNNNNNNNNNNNNNNNNNNNNNNNNNNNNNNNNNNNNNNNNNNNNNNNNNNNNNNNNNNNNNNNNNNNNNNNNNNNNNNNNNNNNNNNNNNNNNNNNNNNNNNNNNNNNNNNNNNNNNNNNNNNNNNNNNNNNNNNNNNNNNNNNNNNNNNNNNNNGUUACACCUCAUAUGUCCUCAAGACUUUCCGCACUUUUUGUUUUCUGAACAAGACGCUUCCGAUCGGUCUCUUGCGGAGAUUAUCCAUGUUAUCAUGAGCACAGACGAUCAUGCCAGACGCAGUUGUUCGUUUCAUUCCCUCUUUUGCCUGGACCGCCCUUUCGGGUUUCAGUCCACCGGGAUACCCUUUUUUGCCCAAGUCGCCCUUGCGGGUUUUCAACUUGCCGGGUGUACAGUUCUUUUCUUUUAUUAUCCCUAACUUUUGCCCGAACCUUUCCCUUUUUCUUGGUUCGCCGGGAUGCCCAUUUUUGCCUGGACUCUUUAUUCUUUUGGUCCAGCGGGUCUCUUUCACGAAGUAUUUUCUAACUGCGUCCGCAUUCACAGGGGAUGGAAAGUCUUUGUCAUCCGUGGUCGUUAACAACGGGGUUCUGUCAGAGAGAACUUUCUUGACCACGAAUGGACACUCAUAACUGUUUAUCCAUUUGCCCCAUAAUCGUCUUGAGGAGGAAGGAUCCUUUUCAACCAACUCUUCCACGUGGUACGCACGCGGUCACACUUCUCGGUCAACAACACGCGUCAUUCACUGGGUACAACUGCCCCAUGACAAGUAACUGCUAGUCCUUCUCCCUGUUAGGCUCAACUUGUCACACUGAGUCCCCAUCCACUUGCCCUUUUCUAAUCAGGAUAUCAGAUGGUAACAUUAAUUCCUUCCCAUACACCUGUGUGGAAGACAUUACUCCCAGUAGAUACACAUCCCAAGGUUCAGUACCCAGGAUACAUACUUUAUAUUCAGUCACCAUUGUUGGUGCGACCAAAUGUGAUCCGGGAGGCACUACCUCAUUCACCCUAACUUCCCCAUCAGACAUCGGAAUCCGUUCGGAUUCAGGGCCAGGCCCCUCCUCCGGGAUCGGUCAUUCCCAAUCUUUCGAUUUGAGUACCUCGAGACGUCCUCAUCAGGGAUCUUAAACUUCCUUGGUUGAUAACCUUCCAUGGGUUGCUGCUAGCUCUUCAAACACAUACCUGAUUAGAUCCAUUUUGGACAUCCACAAAGUGAUUUGAAUCAACAUACACUGUCUCAGUCGGCGAGCAGCCUAUGCCAAAGUACAUCAAGUUUUUUCGAACAGUGAGUGUAUUGUUUCACAGUCGAUAAACUCUUUGCUUAGGUAAAUUGCGUGCUCUUUUCGACAAGACUAGUCAUGCUGACACAGUACGCACCUCAUAGACCCCUUGAGGGCUGUCAAAUACCUGAUUAACAGUGGUUUCUUCCAAGGAAGGCAUCAGAAUCAGAGGUUCCUGCUACUCAUUUUUCUUUCCAUGCCCCUUGGCAGUCACCAUUCCACCUGACCAUUUGAUUUUUUCUUCUUUUUUCGGUUCAGGCAUUUCUUUUUCUCUCUCUCUUUUUUUUUUUUUUUUUUUUUUUNNNNNNNNNNNNNNNNNNNNNNNNNNNNNNNNNNNNNNNNNNNNNNNNNNNNNNNNNNNNNNNNNNNNNNNNNNNNNNNNNNNNNNNNNNNNNNNNNNNNNNNNNNNNNNNNNNNNNNNNNNNNNNNNNNNNNNNNNNNNNNNNNNNNNNNNNNNNNNNNNNNNNNNNNNNNNNNNNNNNNNNNNNNNNNNNNNNNNNNNNNNNNNNNNNNNNNNNNNNNNNNNNNNNNNNNNNNNNNNNNNNNNNNNNNNNNNNNNNNNNNNNNNNNNNNNNNNNNNNNNNNNNNNNNNNNNNNNNNNNNNNNNNNNNNNNNNNNNNNNNNNNNNNNNNNNNNNNNNNNNNNNNNNNNNNNNNNNNNNNNNNNNNNNNNNNNNNNNNNNNNNNNNNNNNNNNNNNNNNNNNNNNNNNNNNNNNNNNNNNNNNNNNNNNNNNNNNNNNNNNNNNNNNNNNNNNNNNNNNNNNNNNNNNNNNNNNNNNNNNNNNNNNNNNNNNNNNNNNNNNNNNNNNNNNNNNNNNNNNNNNNNNNNNNNNNNNNNNNNNNNNNNNNNNNNNNNNNNNNNNNNNNNNNNNNNNNNNNNNNNNNNNNNNNNNNNNNNNNNNNNNNNNNNNNNNNNNNNNNNNNNNNNNNNNNNNNNNNNNNNNNNNNNNNNNNNGAAGAUAAACACUGAGACCUGAGCUAUAUAAUCAACCAAUACCUCAUUGUGAAGUACCAGGAAUUCAUCCUUCAGAUUAGCUCUGUUCACGUCUUGGUGCCCCCUACACCUUCUCAUCUUUCAGCACCGGUUUCCGCUUCACUAGAGGACAGUCUUCUCUUAAGGGUAGCUUGUGCCCCACAACAUCGGUAUUCCACCCUGGUGUAUCUUGAUGCAACCAGGCAUCCACCUGCUCUUCUAACAGGGCUACCAUUCUGUUCUCGACUUGCCUCUGAAGCGGCCUCAACUUUCACUUUCCCUUCUGACCUCGGCGGUACUUGGGAUGACAAACUUGAUUCGCUCCUCGUGCGGUUGAAUCACCUUCUCCUCUUGUUUUGACAACCUGGUUAAUCCCAGCAGAUCACAAUCUUCUUCGCCUUCUUCUUUGGCGUGAUAGGUCGGAUGGUCGAAGUCAUACAGAGGUGUAAUCAAAUUGUUAUCGAUGAGAUCAGGAUGAUAAUCACUUUUGAGGUUGGAAACGAGACAAAUCUAAAGGAAAUAGAACGAAAAAAACAUUGCCAUUUAUCUGUUUUUAAAAUUGCAAAAUUAAAUGAAAAACAGGGAACACCGCUUUUAACUACAAAAACAUCCAUUCAUUACUGAUGCAAAAUGUUGCAAAAUGAAACACCUGAGGUGGCCCUUACAAUGGACCAGUACGUUUCGGGCAAAACGUAUGGCUUUCAUGCAAACAAAAUUAAAACACAGAAAUACUACACUUCCGGAUGAGCGACAGUGAUGCUUUUAGAGGCCUUCCAAUCGCCUGGUAUGCACGAUUUUAUCCACGCCUCGAGCUCGCGGUCAUGGUCAAUCUCUUCACUCACUGAACGAGCAUGAUCAGAAUCCAGCAUUCCUGCACUGACGAAGGUGUACGGCGGGCGACAUCCUCUAUUUGGUCUAGACAACUCUUGAUCUGGCUGAUAACCGACCCCAAACAUGUCUGCUUUCACCACGAUGUCGAUGAUCCUUCCCCAGCCUUGGGCCUCUUUGUUCUUUACCACUUCCAGAGCUUGUUUAUAAGAAGAAAUAGACAGCUUCUUCUCUUUCUCGGCAUCCAAGGCAUUCUCCACCUGGACGGUUUCAAUUGCCAGACUGGAUGCUCUACAUCUUACAUCGUCCAUUUCUACUUUCUUCAUCUUCUGGGUCGUGUCUUUCAUCAAUACACACCCCUCUGUAGUGACAGUCGCACAAGUAUUAUCAACAGCAGGGAAGGCUCCAGCCCGUAGCAGAAGUUUUGGAACCAUAGCCAUUGGACCUUUUAGCUGACCCUCUUCAAUCACUUCUAUUCCUUUCCUGUUCUUUUUCACCAUCUUGACUUUUACGGGACCCUGCCUGGAUACGGGGUUGACAUCCUCCUUCAUUAUCUGUCCCAAGCUGAUAAUCUUAGAGUCCACCAGAUCUUGGACAAUAUGCUUAAAAGCUCUGCAACCUUCAAUGCUGUGUCCGGGUGCUCCAGAGUGAAACUCGCACUUGGCACUCUCAUCAUAGUUUGCAGGCCUCCGCUGCUGUUCUGUAGGAAUCAAAAUCCUCGGUCGAACUAAUCCCAGAUCCCUCAACCUCCUGAACAGAAGGGUAUAAGUUACGGGUGGCUCUUCAAACUGACGAUCCUCCUUCUCCUUCUUCACCCAGCUCUUAGCUCUCGGUGUCUUCUGUUGAGGUGGCAGUUGUUGCUGUUGAGCAGGUGGAUUGUUGACAGGAGUGGUUACAGUGGCAGCAUAAGGGUGAUAACGAUCUUUACUACGUUCUUUCUUUGUGGGCACACCAACUGGCUCAACCUCCUUCUUGAAUGGACCACUAUCGGAGGGUUUCUUUGCUACAGUACCAGAAGGUUUGUUCACUUCGGAGGACGAAGCCUUCCCCUGAACUUUUUCCACUAUCAGCCACUUCUCAAUCUUUUCCAAUCUCUCAGACAUGACUUUCUGUCCCAAGGCAAGCCCUUGCACAACACUGAACAAGUCCCUCAUCAUCUCUUUUAGUUCAAGGAUAUCGGCGUUGGGAAGAUCCAUCAGCUUGGAUUUGGUGACCCCCAGCAGGUUAUCUGAACAGACGAGCUAUGCGCACCGGUUGAAUACUGAAACCUACAAAACAGCAAAUGGGUUAGUAUGACUCACACAUGCAAUGUCUGUCCGUACCAGGAAUAUUCAGUCUUGACCCCCAGCAGGUUAUCUGAACAGACGAGCUAUGCGCACCGGUUGAAUACUGAAACCUACAAAACAGCAAAUGGGUUAGUAUGACUCACACAUGCAAUGUCUGUCCGUACCAGGAAUAUUCAGUCCUGUUUUUUUUUAUGGUUUCAUUGAGACAGAUAAAAUUUUAUCCACAACAUUUUGACAUCUGGAUGUCUCUCAACCUGGGUCUUAAUUUAAAAAUAAUGGACCCUGAGUACGGACAGACAUGAGUUGAAUGCAGAUGAAUGCGAGAUGAUAUGAUGCAAAUGCAUAAAUGCAGGCCCUUGUGCCACCAAAUCAUCUGAAGACCUCACACUUCUCUGAACCAGUCACAUCUGUGGGACCAAGUCACCAUAAAUCCAACUUGGGGGGGUUCCGAAAUAAACGGAACCGGAGAUUACAUCACUAUCUUCACAGGAACAAACACUGAACGGAUGACAAACGGAUCCUCUGAACAAGUGCUCUCAAUCCAACCCGGGGAUCCGAAAUAAACGGAACCCGCUGAUAAACCACGGACAGAACUCUGGCGUCCCAGAAAUAAGUGCCCAUAAUCCAUAGUCACUGUCAGUACCAAGAGUCACCAACAAGUCACCAACCAAUCAUCAACUGUACCUGUAACGAUCAAAUCCCCUCCCCACUCACGGGUGUCAUCUAGGUCAGGGUAAAGUCGAAAGAAACACAGCAUAAAUAACCUUUCGCAGAAUAUCAUCAUAUACACACCCGAAGUAUGUAACGACAAUAUCCCACCAGGGUCUAAACUGCUCGUGAUAUCAAUGUUCCGCUAAGUGGCGCAAUACCACCCGCUUUCCAUGAAUCACUCUAUUCCUAAGUAUCCUAGAUUUCACUCAUAGCCUGGGUAUUGGGCCUUUUACCUCAAGUGACUCCCACCCCCCAAUCAGAGAAACACAGACAGCACAGCAGAUGAAUAUGAAUGAAUGCAAACAUUAAUGCACACAAUAAAUGCAAACAGUAAAUGUACAUAUAUACAAUGAAUGCAAUAAAUAACAGCAAAUAGCAACCAAAACCCUAACCUAGAGAGCGUUAGGAGGAACUCGCUCAGGGAAGAUGGACCAGCAGAGGUCAACUUCUCUAGAGUCCCCAGCAGAGUCGCCAGCUGUCGCAUUACGCGAAAAAACCGGCGGGAAACAAGAAACAACAGAGCCGCCACCGUGCGUUAUUUAUCCCAAAAGAGGGAAAGGAAACGCUCAGAGUAAACCUGGAAAAAGCAUGGUCUCGCGACCACCAGAGUAUGGGUUUCGGGAGUCGGUUAUGCGAAGGGAAGGUAUUAGCACCCCUACGCAUCCCGUAGACUCUACGGGAUCCACGCACAAGAAAGGAAAUUUGGUUGCUAACACCUGCUCAAACAAUCUACACACACCUGGCUGAAAGAAAGAAAGAAAGACUGACUGAAAACUGACUCGGCAGGAUGUCGCAUCCUGGCCUACUUAGUCUAUCAGGCAUAGACAUCAGAGUCGAAGUAGUUCGGACUGGGGAAACCGACACAUGCUGCGCUAGGAUUCGCAUCCUAUGCAUACGUAUCUUCUCGGACGAGAAGAAGAAUCAGAGCAUUCGUAGCUCGCCUGACACGCGCACAAACAAACACAGAAAGGCAAACGUGGAGCCCGACUGCCAAUCACUGGACUUAUGCAAGCAUCGCAACCAAACACACAACAAGAAGGCAAACAUGGAGCCUGAAUGCCAAUGCUGGACUUACAUCAGCAUCCGAAACCAAACACACCGCACACUGGAACCCAAUGCCACUCGAUGGACUUACAUCAGCUUCCAACCACACACACACACUGAACCAAUGCCACUCGAUGGACUUACAUCAAGCUCCAAGCACACAACAAACACAACAAGUUAAUAGGGAGUCGGGGACUCGAGCCAUAACGUGCAAGCACACACACAAAAGAAAAGAAAAGGCGCCCGGAGAGAUCAGCUCAAUCUCCUGCCUACAUACUUCAUCUGGUAUGAAGAUCAGGGCGAUGUAGUUCCCCUACGAGGGGAAAAGGCUAGCCUAACCAGAUAACAGAGGGAGCACAACUCUAGGGAGACUACGACUCGAGCCUAGAUGUUUUCAUGCAAAAGUCACCCUAAGUUAAGGUUUCUAGCUAAAGGCACAAGGGCCACCUACCCUAAGCAUGGCUCACACAGGAAGCAAGCCACACACACUUAACUUGCACAGGAGCAAGCCAAGCAAAACCUACUGCACAGGAAGCAAGUCUAAACUAAUCCAACUUGCACAGGAAGCAAGUCAAACAAUCCUAUCUGCCACAGGAAGCAAGUCAAACAAUCCUACAAGCAAACAGAUAGCACAACGUAUACCACAAACAAGUGGCUCAAACAAGGGUUAGGUUUAGUCAAGGGGUCAUAUCAACCUCAACAAACAAACUCUGGAAUGGGUGAGUGCUCUAACCUUGCCAUUGAGGGGCUAAGGUGAAGCAGAUGAAAGUGAGUGAGAUGAAAGACUCACAGCUCUAUCCCUGGCCUGGGAGAGCUCAAGACAAGAAUGUGUGGGUCCAGAAGUGGGGAACCCUUCUACACAUUUAAACUGACUCAACUGUACAAUUGUACAAGAUCUUGGGUUUGUUAUCUGAAAUGCAUCAACACAGUGGUGUGAGCAAAGCAGAUGACACACUGAAUAGUGGGGGAUAGAUUGCAUCCCUACUUCCACCAAUUGCCUCUUCACUUAGGAGGCUUUGACUCUAUGCAAGGACAAAAUAAACAUCACAAAACAUUGCCUCUUAAGGAGGACUUCAGACAGUUGCCUGGCCAAGUAACAGGCCAGGUCUUCCAGACUACAUGAAGUAAAGAGACAUACCUCAAUGCAAAUUGCUUAUACAAGCAAAGCAAAGCAAAAAGUUCACAAGGAACUAAGCAACUAAAAGCACCUGAAACAGUCAAGCAGAUGUUAGUAUGCAACUCAAAAACAAACAAAACAGAAACAGACAACACGUCUUAGAGGCACAUGGAUGUGCAAGGCACAAGGCUAGGGCAUGUGAGCCAAGCCACCUACAAAACAAAAGAGUUAGACAAUGAUACUUAGAAGCUCAAUCAAAAGAAUUGGUCUUAAUGGCCAUUUGUGGUCAACCUGAAACACAAACUCAAAGUGAGUAACAGGACCACUAGGGCAAGCCUAGGUCAAAAGUGAAUGAGAAAGUCAAACAGCAAGGAUAUAUCAAAUCAUGUUCAACCAUUAAGGAACAACCAAUUGGGUUCACAUCUAUAAAUCACUAUCAUCAUUUCAUGACCAAUUUAGGUCAAAACAUGGCAAAAGAGCUCAUAGAAGUCAACAGCAAGACUUCAUCAAAAGCAAUCUAAAACAUUUUCCAAAAAUCACAAAUAAAUCAUGAUCAAACCUAACCACAUAGCAUGGUAAGCAUGUCAAAUUUCAUCCAUUUGGACAAGUGGAAGGCAGUCAAUGAAAAUCAGAAAGUCAAAGCCCAUUUGAAACAUGCUCAAAGAAGUCAACCAAACAUGCAUCAACUUGAAAAAAUCAUAAAUCAGUGAUAGCAUAUGAGAAAUGAAUGGGAUCAAAACCAUGGCAAAGCUUAAGAUGUCUCCUAAUCACAUAUCAAAUUUCAUGUCCAUCCAAUAAAGUAUGAGAAUUUCACAAAUGAAAUGGGAACAUGUGUCACAAAAAGUCAACAUAAGACCAAACAGGGAACAAAAAUCUCAAACAAUUAGGAAAUGCCACAAACAAUUCCAAGAAAAAUCACAUGUAAACUAGACAUACUCAAGUACAUUCAUGCAAAAAUUCAAUCCAAUUUGAGGUCAAGAGGCAUAGUAUUGAAAAUCAUCAAGUUGCACAUCAAUGGUGUGACACAAAUUGUCACACCCUACUUCAAAAAAUCAUAACUCAAUGACCAGAGAUGAUAAAUUCAUAAACUUUAUACCAAAAUCACCAUGGAUAUGUCUAGUUUAAACAUAAAAAAUUUCAAGGCCAAUGGAUAAAGCAUCACUAUUUCACAAAGGAUUUGGCAAAAGGUACAAAAAAUGGAUACAUGUCACAAACCCUAAUACCAAUUAAAAACCAUUCAUCAAAAAAAUCAGGAAAAAUCAUGAUUAAAUAAUAGAGAUCCAGAUGAACACAAUGCAAAAAAUCCCAUUAAUUUUGGAUUAAACAUGGAUGAGAUAUGAUUUUUACAAGUUUGAGCAUCAAACGAAAUUAAAAUUGCAAAGAAUAACAUGAAUUAAUAGUUAAUUAGGCACGGAAUGGCAGUUUUGUAAAUACUUGAACCACUUAACAAAACGCUGCGUACAGGCAAGGCAAAUGAAAUGUUGUGAUUGGCUGAUGGUGAAUGGAACAGUAAACAUCAUGCAUAACACGUGAACAGGAAACGAAAACCUGGGCAUGGCUAGGGUUCAUCGUGUACAGUGGACCUUCAUCAUCAAUGAUGAACAAAAAUCCCAGAAAUGGGAAUUAAACACAACAAUCAACUCGUCUAGUCAUGUGCAAUACCAAUCUAACUUCAUUUUUUACCAACUCGAGCUAAACAAAACAAAACAUGCAAAAAUAUAUUUGAUUAUCAAACUUGAAUUUCAAAUUUCUCUCUCAAUACCUAGCCAUUUUCUUCGAUUCAAAGCUCAACAUGUUCAUGGUAAGAAAAUCUACAAGAUGUACCUCAUGAUUUCAAGAAUGGUUAAACUCGAAUCUCACCUGAUCUUGAAGGGCAGUGAUGAUUCAAUGGUUUUCUGGCCAAGAUAGGUUGAAACAGAUGCAUCCUUAAGCUCCAAGAAGUAUAUGAAAGGUGAAUCGUGGCUCAAAUCCUCUUGAUUGUGCUCAGAAUGUCAACUGCCAUGGAAGGAGCUUGGAAGAACAGUCCAUGAAUCCUUGCUUACAGCUGGACAAUGAUGCUUGCAAAGAGCUCAAAAAUGGUGGUGAAUGAUGAAGCAACUAAGGCUGGCUCGAGGGCUUUGAGGUUUUGUCAAGAAAAAUCCAAAAUGCAAAAUGAGGGUUUUUGAGAGGAUGCAACUUUUUUCUGUUUUAUCAAAGUGGCUAGGGCUUUGUUCAGAUUGGAGAAUGAAAUAUAUACCUCUGUUUAAGGUUUGUUAAGUUCGGUUAAGAGAGAGAUAAUCAUGAUUGCUUAAUAAAGUGUAUUUGGACCAAUUGCUAAAAAUUAACAAUGUGCAUGGGGGGGGUGCAUGGAUGUGCACGAAUUGGGCUGCCAACAAGUCCCAAAUGUAAUUUGUGAUCAAUUCCAAAUGGUACAAGUGGUUGAAAAUGUUUAUUUUGAAAAGUCAAAUUUUCACUACACUUGAAAAUAAUUCAUGUAAGUUCAAAAAUGCCAUUUUGAUUGGUGAAGUUUUGGUGAAUGAUGAUGACAUAUUUGGAAAGAGGGCAUCAAAUGUGACUUGUAUCAAAAAACCCCACCCAAUUUGGCCAAAUGGUUUGAGAGAUAUGGCCUUUUGAAGUUCAAAAAUUUCUGAAAAUGAUUUGAUCAUAACUUGCCAACCAUACAUGGGAAUUGAGUGUUCUUGGACUUUUUGGAAAUGGGAGAACAAGAUCUUCAACUUUCAUGUUGGGCAAAAAUUCAUUUGAAGCUUGUAUCAUGAUGUAAGUUUGGGAUCAAGAAGUUUCCAUUUUUGGCAAAUUCCAAUUACAAGUCAAGUUUCUAUUUUUGGAAAUUUCUUGUCUGGCUUCAAAUUCUUCCAUGAUGGUGUUUGACAUGUUAUAUGAGGCCUAUAUGGACAUGAAUGAGCCCUCUCAAACCAAAUCCCACCAUCAAAUCCAUAAAAACAGACACAGUUGACCAACAGUUGACUUUUUAAGGUUUCUGGUGAACUGGACCAUGACUGAUGACUUCUGAGCAUUCAAACCUUGACCAAAACACUUCAAAAGGACCCCUAGGUCAUGUGAACAUGUUGUACCAACCUUAGGGCCUUGGCUCAAUGAAAAUUGUACUCGCUUGCUUGACUGACUGAUCUCCUGACCAGUUUGACCUAAUCUGACUGAAUGGCUUGCACUUCAGGUAAAGGGACAAUGCAAUGCUAUGCAGUGGACCAUGUUAUGUUAUGACCUAAUAUGAGAAUGUAUGUACAAUGAUAGGUGCAAAUUUGAGGUGCUACACUACCCAAGACAUGAAAAUGUCAUGUGAUCUGACAAAUCCUUUUGUGAUAAUACUUAUAUGUACAAUUACCAUUUUGCCCUUAUGUCUAUAUUGAACAUAAGGCAUAUAUCAUGUCAUCCUUGUCCAGUUCAAUAUUGGGCCCAUAGACAUUUAUCCUGUUACGCAGGAUGGGCAAAUUCCAUCUAGGUCACUCAUGUCCCUUAGCAUGCUUCGCGGAGUACCCAUCAACUAUCUUUAUGGUCAUCCAGUUUCGGACAAUGUUUGAUCAUCAAUAAGGCACUUGACUCUACAUCUAGGGUCCAUAGUGGUUUCAGGUCGAAGGGUGGUAUACACCAUUAUCACCAUGAGAAUAACUUAUGACACUUUGCAUAACAUUCUAUAUAGUAUGCUCAGUUAGCGGGUCAAAUCCAGAUAAAUAUACUCUUAAUAUUCAUACCGGGAUGGUGUUUUAAGACUGAUAACUCCUUAUCCAUGAUCCAUGAGACGUGAUCAUCAGUCUAUUAUACAUAAUAGUCUUAAUGCUUUAAUGUUAUCCCACUUCACAAUAAAGCUCGACUAUGGAUACUUUAAGAAUAAUGUCCUUAUGUUUAAUGUGAUCUCAUGAUUAAGUCAUACUUGAUACAUUAAAUGGACUAUCUAUUCUAGGGACUUUAUUAGACAAACAUAAUAAAGAAAAAGCCUUUUAUUAAUAAUAAAUAAUUCGAUACAAGUACCAAAAGUAUUGGCCUCUAGGGCUUACACCAACAAUCUCCCACUAGCACUAGAGCUAAUCAGGCAUACCCGUAAUGCCCAUAGAUCUAGUAUGGCCAUCAUGCUUCUGCUGCGCAAAAGGCUUUGUCAGUGGGUCAGCAAUAUUGUCAAGUGUAGGUACUCUGCAUAUUUUCACAUAUCCUCUAUCUAUUAUCUCUCGAAUAAGGUGAUAACGCCUAAGUAUGUGUUUGGAUCGUUGGUGAGAUCUAGGUUCCUUAGCUUGUGCGAUAGCAUCAUUGUUAUCACAAUAAAGACCAAUGGGAUCCACAAUGCUAGGAACUAUGCCAAGCUCACUAAUGAACUUUUUGAUCCAAACAACUUCCUUUGCCACACUUGAGGCAGCAAUAUACUCGACCUCGGUUGUAGAAUCAGCAACUGUAUCUUGCUUUGAACUUUUCCAACUCACAGCGCCACCGUUUAAGCAAAACACAUAACUAGAUUGCGAUCUAAAGUCAUCCUUAUCUGUCUGGAAGCUAGCAUCGGUGUUUCCAAUUACAGCUAGCUCUUCCUGACCUCCAUAUAUCAAGAAUGAGUCCUUAGUCCUUCUCAAAUAGUUAAGGAUAUUCUUGACAACUACCUAAUGAGCAUCACCAGGAUCAGAUUGGUACCUACUCGUUACAUUUAAAGCAUACGAGACAUCUGAUCGAGUACAUAACAUGGCAUACAUGAUAGAUCCUAUUGCAGAUGCAUAUGAAAUCAUCUUCAUGCGAUCCCUUUCUUCCUUAGUUGAAGGGGAUUGUGUUUUUGAUCGGCACAUGCCAUGUUGCAUAGGUAUGAAUCCUUUCUUGGAAUCAUACAUAUUAAAGCGUCUCAGCACUUUGUCUAUGUACGUACUCUGACUUAGGCCAAGCAAUUUUUGUGAUAUAUCUCUAUAGAUUCUGAUUCCUAAUAUAUAGGCUGCUUCACCUGGGUCCUUCAUAGAAAAGCAUUUCCCCAACCAAGACUUUACUUGUUGCAGGGUAGGGACAUCGUUUUCAAUGAGUAAUAUGUCAUGUACAUAUAAUACCAAGAAAACGAUCAUGCUCCCACUAACCUUCUUGUAGAAACAAGGCUCAUCUUC